rnacentral:lncRNA from 1 species
UGGCUCUUUAUAAGAGCUGGUCAUGAAUUUGUUUGUGGAGCAUUUUUCCAUGGGAAAACACUGAUCAGGUAAAAGUUAAGUGCUCUGUGAAAAUGUUUUUAUUUUGGUGGAGUGCUGCUGGCAGUACAUGGGGCUUGUCAGGGCAUUUCCAGCUUCCAUCUCUCCUGGAGCUUCCAUCUUCCCUUGGAGCUGGCCUUCUGUUUCAGGGACACCUUGUGUCUGAAACCUGUUGGGGCAAGCUGCCUACAGAAACAGGCUGUGUGGCUGAGCUGGGACCCAAAAAGCUUCUCAAACUGCUAAGAUUGCUUCUUUUUAGGGGCAACAAAGUUGUGCAACAGAGACCUGAGAUCAGUAUCUGCAGUGGAGCAGCUCUUGUUCUGCAAGAACCAAGUUUGGGCCAAGUUUUGGACUCCACCAGGAAGAGUUGUUGAGACACGCACUGAAUGCUGGAGCCAUGCCGUUCCUCCACAUUAUCUGUCUUCGUUUUGACUGCUAAUCCAUCACAGACACGGUGACUACUCUCAUGACCUCCCACACAGAAGACAAGCAAGCAGUACUCCCAUCUGUCAACUCUAGUCACAAGGUGGCAGGUCUCUGUGCUUGUGCAUCUGUAUGAGUCUAUACAUGUAUGGAAUAUGUGUGAGCAUCUGAUACUUUGGUAAGAGUCUGAAGUGUUUUACACUAUGUUUUAGGUGAUUUAUUGCACUUUAGCACAUUCAUAAAAUGCAUCGUGUUAAGCAUAUGCAUAAAAAUAAUAUAUAGGUUACCACAAAAUUUUUAUGACUUUAACCAGAUCCGUCUUGGAAUGUCGUCUUGAAUGUUUCACUCCUGCAGGUGAAAAAACAUAUUAUUUCAACUGAGUUUAGGGUAAGUUGUUUAGUCAAGACAACAAUAUUGUGGAGAGAGCCGUUACCUUGGUAGCACUUUGCCAAUUUAAGUACUAAUGAGAGGGGUUGAUUUCUGUCCUACAUCCAACAUAAGGUGUCUAUGACUACUGUGUCUCCAGUCUGCAUUCCUCAGCUGUCCCAUUCUCCUACUGUUUGCAGACAAUACAGAGUCAAGAAUUAUAUAAAUACCCUGCAUAGUUACAGUAUCCCUUGAAGGUAGGAGAGAUUUCUUGUAAGGAAUGUUCCAUUGGUGAGAGACUGGUAAAAGUCAGCAGACUACACAUGAGACAAGAGAAAGAUUGGAUGUCUGAUAAUAAAGUAGACUUCAGAAGGCA